rnacentral:rRNA from 1 species
CCCUUAGAUGCUCGGGGCCGCACGCGCGCUACACUGGUCGAUGCAACGAGUUUCUUUCCUUGGCCGACAGGCCUGGGCAAUCUUUGAACAUCGAUCGUGAUCGGGAUAGAUUCUUGUAAUUUUUGAUCUUAAACGAGGAAUUCCUAGUAAACGCAAGUCAUCAGCUUGCAUUGAUUACGUCCCUGCCCUUUGUACACACCGCCCGUCGCACCUACCGAUUGAAUGGUCCGGUGAAAUCUCCGGACUGGCGUGAGUCGGAGCAAUCUGACAAACACCGGAAAGUUGAUUAAACCUUACCAUUUAGAGGAAGGUGAAGUCGUAACA